AUUGAACGCUGGCGGCAUGCCUUACACAUGCAAGUCGAACGGCAGCACGGGUGCUUGCCCCUGGUGGCGAGUGGCGAACGGGUGAGUAAUACAUCGGAACAUGUCCUGUAGUGGGGGAUAGCCCGGCGAAAGCCGGAUUAAUACCGCAUACGAUCUACGGAUGAAAGCGGGGGACCUUCGGGCCUCGCGCUAUAGGGUUGGCCGAUGGCUGAUUAGCUAGUUGGUGGGGUAAAGGCCUACCAAGGCGACGAUCAGUAGCUGGUCUGAGAGGACGACCAGCCACACUGGGACUGAGACACGGCCCAGACUCCUACGGGAGGCAGCAGUGGGGAAUUCUGGACAAUGGGCGAAAGCCUGAUCCAGCAAUGCCGCGUGUGUGAAGAAGGCCUUCGGGUUGUAAAGCACUUUUGUCCGGAAAGAAAUCCUUGGCCCUAAUACGGUCGGGGGAUGACGGUACCGGAAGAAUAAGCACCGGCUAACUACGUG
rnacentral:rRNA from 1 species